CUGGCGGCGUGCCUAACACAUGCAAGUCGAGCGAGGAGAUCCUCGGGAUGAUCCUAGCGGCGGACGGGUGAGUAACACGUGGGCAACCUGCCUCAUAGAGAGGAAUAGCCUUCCGAAAGGGAGAUUAAUACCUCAUAACAUUGCAGUUUCGCAUGGAACAGCAAUUAAAGGAGCAAUCCGCUAUGAGAUGGGCCCGCGGCGCAUUAGCUAGUUGGUGAGGUAACGGCUCACCAAGGCGACGAUGCGUAGCCGACCUGAGAGGGUGAUCGGCCACAUUGGGACUGAGACACGGCCCAGACUCCUACGGGAGGCAGCAGUGGGGAAUAUUGCACAAUGGGGGAAACCCUGAUGCAAGCAACGCCGCGUGAGUGAUGACGGCCUUCGGGUUGUAAAGCUCUGUCUUCAGGGACGAUAAUGACGGUACCUGAGGAGGAAGCCACGGCUAACUACGUGCCAGCAGCCGC
rnacentral:rRNA from 1 species